rnacentral:rRNA from 1 species
UACGGGGGGGGCAAGCGUUGUUCGGAAUUACUGGGCGUAAAGGGCUCGUAGGCGGCCAACUAAGUCAUACGUGAAAUCCCCAGGCUCAACCUGGGAACUGCGUCUGAUACUGGUUGGCUUGAAUCCGGGAGAGGGAUGCAGAAUUCCAGGUGUAGCGGUGAAAUGCGUAGAUAUCAGGAGGAACACCAAUGGCGAAGGCAGCUCGCUGGGACGGUACUGACGCUGAGGCGCGAAAGCGUGGGGAGCAAACAGG